CUCUGUUAAUCCUGCUGCCUUUCACUCACAAUUCCUUGUUUUAUUUAUAUGUUCUGUGAUCUCUAAUUAAGAGCAUAUGUUUUCUAAAUUCUGUGGGGCUUUGUUGAGGCUUGAUGUGAGGAUGUGUUCAGCAAGAAAGAACUUGUCUACUUUCUUUAGGUCUCAGAAAGCUACAAGCCCCCAGAUCUUCUUUAGACCAAAAUGCUUAAUUGAAAAUAACAUGAAUUCAAGCUCAAAGGCCAUUAAGGAGCAGACCUAUGGACAAAAAAUAUUUUGGAAAACGAUUGCUUCUUCUCCCUUUCCCCAAAGCCCGUCUAGUCAGCUUUUUAUAAAAACAAUAAUGAAGAAUAAGGCAUGCCUGGGUGGCUCAGUCGAUUGAACUUCCCACUUGGGCUCAGGUCAUGAUCUCAUGGUUUGGGAGUUGGAGCCCUGCAUCUGGCUCUCUGCUGUCAGUGUGGAGCCUGCUUCGGAUCCUCUGUUGCUCGCUCUCUUUCUCUCUCUCUCUCUCUCUCUGCCCCUUCCCCACUCAUGUACUCUCUUUCAAAAAUAAAUAAACUUAAAAAAAAUAUUGAAGUAUAGUUGACACAAAGUUAUAUUAGUUUCAGGUGUACACCAUAGUGAUUCAAAUUCUAUGCAUUACUCAGCACUCACCAUGAUAAGUGUAGUCACCUCUGUCACUAGACAAUGUUAUCACAAUAUUAUUGACAAUAUUCCUUAUGGUGUAUUUUUCAUCUCGGCAACUUUUUUAGUUUGUUUUCCAUUUACACAUAUGCUUGUUUUCUUCUUUAUUUGUUCAUUUUUAUUAUAUUUCUGGCUUGAACUAGGUUUCAUUGGUUUGGAAAUGUCAUACCAUGUUUUUAUUCAUCUAGGAUUGUUUUUUUGUUGUUGUUGUUAGUUCUUAAGGUAUAAUUCACGGUGGUAUCGAGACCUUGCAUGUAUGGUUUGAUACAUUUUUAAUUUUUUUUAAAUUUAUUUUUGACAGACAGAGAGAGAGAGCAAGAAAACGGUAGGGUCAGAGAGAGAGGGAGGCACAGAAUCUGAAGCAGGCUUUAGGCUCUGAGCUAGCUGUCAGCACAGAGCCUGACGCAGGGCUCGAACCCAGGAACCAUGAGAUGAUGACCUGAGCCGAAGCUGAACGUUUAAUCGGCUAAGCCACCCAGGCACCCCUUGAUCCAUUUUUAAAAUGCAACUCUACAAACUACAUCCUUGCCAAGGUCUCUCUCCUCUAAGAAAUUUCCUUCCCAGUUGAACUCUGCCACCAGCAACAAGCACUGUUCUCAUUUCUAUAACCACAAAUUCAUUAUGCAAAUUCUAGAAUUUCAUCUAAGUGGAGCCAUACCGCCUAGCACUUUCAUGUCUGCCUUACUUUGGUCAGCACAUGUCAUAGACUUCAGUCCAUGUGACUGUGCCUAUCAGCAACUCAUUCCUUUAUUUUGCUGAGCAGUAUUCCAAUGUAUGAAAUACCAGAAUUUGUUUAUCCAUUCAUCUCUUAUUGGAUAUUUGGUUCGUUUCCAAAUGUGUGCUAUCAUGAAUAAACCUAUAAUAAACAUUCUUAUAUAAGUCUUUCUGGGUGGGUAUGCAUGUGAAGAAUUGUAAAAAGUCCACGAUUUUAC
ensembl:lncRNA